GAGAUUAGAGGACACAUUAUUCGUGGGUCGGGAGGAAUUCAAUGAAUCAUGAAGAAAAGAUAAUUUAUAAAGAAUAUGUAUUAAGCAUCUACCACGUGCCAUGGGAAGUGCUGGUGUAACCAGGAAGAUGAAGAAAAAAAUGCACAUGGUAACCAACCCCAGGGGUUUACAGUCCAAUGAGGGAGACCGACAAAACACCAAGCAAAUGUAGAAGUGGUGGUCAGUGACUUCAAGUAAAAGUAAAGGAGAUGGAUGUGAUGAAAGACAGUAACAGAAGUUAUAUUUCAGACAGGUUGUUCAGGGAGGGCCUCUGAGGAAGUGAUAUUUCAGUGGAAGCCUGGAGGGUGAGAAGAUGAUGGGUAGGUGGAGAGUUGGGAGAAGAACAAUCAAAGCCAAAGGAACAGCGUGGGCACGCCUGAGGCUGAAGAGCACCCGCAUGGAGAAACCCAAAAGGCUGAUGUGCCCACUGGAUAGUGAAGGAGGGAGAAGAAGGUGUGAGAUGAAAUUGGAGAAUGGGGAAAGGCAGUAACCUAAAGGACUGCCCACAGUUUGUACUUGAAAACUUCACAUUGAUUUCAAUCCUGAACGUCUUGUGAUCUGGAGUUCCCAUUGGAUUUUUGGUUAUAAUGAGUCAGUGCAUCAAGAGUACCUUGAGGCCGUUACUGGGGUGGGCCUUAAAUGAGCACACAGAGAUGCUAUACACAUAGUGAGUAUGUAUGUAUAGAGACGGGAUCUCAUUCUGUUGUCCA
rnacentral:lncRNA from 10 species